rnacentral:lncRNA from 1 species
GUGAAAAACACAAAGCUUCUGUGUGUAGAGGUGUGUGAGAGGAAUAAUAGAGUGUUGAGUAAAUCCAGAGAGUGUGGGAAAAAUACACCGGGUGGGUAUCAUCUCUAUAACUUCUAGGUGCUAUAAAAUAAUAGCAUUAGAAUAGAAGUAGGUCUUACGGGAAACACUAUAUUGUAUCUCUUGUGUGUGUAAGAGAGUGGAGAGAAUUGUAAUAUUCUUUAAUAUAGUGGAAUAUUUUUCGGAGUUUGUCCCGUGGUUUUUCCCUCGGUAUUAGAGGGUUUUCCACGUUAAAUAUUGGUGUUCAUUUUUUUUAUCGCUACCGCUGCGCUGCAAGAUCCAAUCUCUUUUGGAUUUUGGAAUUUUAAUUUACACUUGCGUUAAGCUCGUCGAGCCCAACAUCUAGGUCUCUAUGUCCCGUUGCUUCUUCCGCUUCCCGUUCAUUCAACACCAACAUCAACACCAUGCGCCAGUAUGAUGAACACUCUGAUGAGUCCAAUGUUGCCGAUCGUCGUCGUGCUGAUCGCUCUUUCCCUCGCACUCUCCGCGACAAUUUCCUCUCCGGUAGGGAAUUAGGAUUCACUGUUCUUUGUGGGAUACAUAUGCCGAGAGAAUGGAUGCUUACUUGACUGUGCGAGAUUCAACAUCUCCUGUUG